GAUGAACGCUGGCGGCGUGCUUAACACAUGCAAGUCGAACGAAGCAAUGCGACGGAAGCCUUCGGGUGGAAGAUGUAUUGACUGAGUGGCGGACGGGUGAGUAACGCGUGGGUAACCUGCCUUACACAGGGGGAUAACAGUUAGAAAUGACUGCUAAUACCGCAUAACCCGCUAGUACCGCAUGGUACAGACGGAAAAGAUUUAUCGGUGUAAGAUGGACCCGCGUCUGAUUAGCUAGUUGGUAGGGUAACGGCCUACCAAGGCGACGAUCAGUAGCCGGCUUGAGAGAGUGAUCGGCCACAUUGGGACUGAGACACGGCCCAAAACUCCUACGGGAGGCAGCAGUGGGGAAUAUUGCACAAUGGGGGAAACCCUGAUGCAGCAACGCCGCGUGAGUGAAGAAGUAUUUCGGUAUGUAAAAGCUCUAUCAGCAGGGAGAAAAAUGACGGUAACCUGACUAAGAAGCCCCGGCUAACUACGUGCCAGCAGCCGCGGUAAAAGU
rnacentral:rRNA from 1 species